rnacentral:lncRNA from 1 species
AAGUGCUGGGAUUAAAGACAUGUGCCACCAUGCCCAGCAACCUUAUGCUUUUCUUAAAAUCCACCAAAUUUCACAGCACUAAUAAAAGCUGCAGUCAAUAGUAAUAAUAAUAUGAUGAUACUGUUCAUCAAAUAUAGUAAAUACUGCAUAUGAAUGAAAGGUGUGAAUGUGGAGAACUGGGGAAGAUGGUUGGAACUGUAGGAGAUAAUAUAUAGGGACUACAUGCUUUCUUGCUGAGAGCCUUCAUUAUUCUAAAAUGUGUACUACAUUAAUAUCAGAAGAUACCAAUUGCUUAAAAUAGUUCAUAAAUAUUAGAUACCAUAACCAAAUAAGUGCAUCAUUUUUUUUAAUGUGCUUAGUCAUGUCGCCAGCUCUCUCCACCGGCAUCACUGUUGAUAACGCCCUGCUGCUCUUGUUCCUUCUUAUGCUUCUCGAUUAGGAGUUCUGGCCCUGUCUUGGUACCCACCUGAUUCAAGGGAUGACAAUGGCGAAGCUACUGAUCACUUGGUGCCAACCAUUUUGGAUAAAGCUCAUAAAUAUAAUCUGAAGGUAUAUAAUUUACUUUAAAAGUAUAUGUGUCAUUGCUAAUCCUCUUAUCCUCAUGAUAGUAAUAAUAUUUUAUGUACUCAUUUUAAUUAAAAUUUGAUAUAUGUAGAAAUAUUUUAAAACAAUACUGCAUCUUAAAGGUUUGUUUUGAUAAUUUAAAUUUCAGAACCUAUAUAAGAUACUCCUUACUAUUUUACUGACCAUGUUUUAUACUCAUUUAUUAGAUUUUGUUGUAUUUUUAAACAGGAACUCCCAAUGUAGCUCUUGCUUGGAACCUAUAGACCAGGUUGACUUGGAACUCAGAGUCAUCCUGCCUUCUCCCUCUCAGUGCUGUGAUUAAAGACAUGUACUAAUUUGUCUACCCCGUACUAUGUGGUUUAAUAAGAAAAGGAGGGUUUCUUUGUGAACAGAGUAUAGAAAUUAGUGAAAUUAAUGUCUGAGUAUCCCCUAAAUUCCAAAAACUACUAUGCUUAACAGUAUAACCUUACAUCUUUAUAAAUUGGUUAGAAAAUUUCUGACAAUUCUUUGAAUUUUAAAUUUUAUAUAGUUCAUUCUGUUAAUGUUCAUCCUAUUGUCUAUCAGAUCCAUCCCCUUGUCCCACCCACUCAGUCCCCCCAACACACACACGCCCUGUUUAAUUAUCCUGGCAAGUCCACUUCUUGGUGUUCUUGGAUGUUUGGCCUUCAACUGGAGUUUGAUUGGCCUAGUUAGGUGCAUACUCUUAAUGAAAACUGAUGGCACCUCUCCCAGAAGCUAACAGUUUAUGUGUAGGACUUGAUGUCCAGCUCCCCUCUCCAUGCCUCAAUUGUAUUCAGUUUGAGCUUGCACAGAUCUCAUUGAUGCUGACAUAACUGCUAUGCAUUCGUAUUUGUACCUACCCUGUUUUAGCCAGAAAGUACUGUUUCCUUUAGUCAUCUGUGCUUCUGAUUCUUAGACUUUUUCUAUCUCUUCUUCUGCAUUGAUUCUUUCUUCUAGUAGAGAGAUGUGUGAUGUUGAUGUCCCAUGGAAGGCUAAGCAUUUUACAGCUUCUUAUUCUCUGGAUCUUGACCAGUUCACAUAUACUGCAGAAACAAUAGUCUCUGAGGGUUACAGAUGAACUAAUCUAUGGGUAUAAUGAUAAGUCAUUAGGAAUUUGGCUUAAUAUUAUAUCUACUUAGCAAAAUAAUAGUAGUAAGUUCUCCUUCAGAGACUAUGGUUUAUUUUGCCAUAAAUUCUUGGCCCUAUAAAGGCUCUAGUAUGGGUUUCAUCUAAAAGAGUGGGCCUUAAAUCAGAAGGUAGUUGGUUCUCUCAAUCUUUUUUUUUUUUUUUUUUUUUGGAUCAUUCUUUUGAAUUCCUUGUCUGGUAUUUUAUUCUGGUUUCUCAUUUUGAAAAUCUAACACUGUGGAACUGAAUAUUUGAGAGGAGUCAUGUUGCCUUAACUUUUCCUGGUCCUUGUUUCUUUGUCAGUAUUUGUAUAUCUGGUUUUAGGCCAUUGUGAGUGUUUAUUAUAUCUCCUUUUUUGUUUGCAUUGAAAUUUGAAAUUCCUUUGGAAAGUCUUGGACUAGCUUUUAGCAGGGUUAAGGUGCCUUUCCCCUAAUAGCUCCCGUAUUGGGCAUGCAAUACAGCUCAUGUGCGCAGGGAGCAUCAGUUAUAAUAUCCAGCACAGCUUCAAUAACAGAACAUUGCAGGAAAAACUUCACUGAUGGGUAGACCUACUAGGAAAACUCAUUAAGUUUAAGGACCAUAGAGAAUAAAGGCACAAGGAUAGUGUUUGCUAGGAUAUUACUUACUAAGGGGAGGAAUGGAAAGAUAAUAAGUUGAGUAUGAACAAGAAUUCAUGUAAAAUAGUAAGUAGCAGGGAGGAAGUAGGAAAUUUGUUAGGGAAAACAGACCCUAAAGAUUACUGACAUUAGAAAAUUGCAAUUCAAAUUAGAGGAAGUGGUAGGGAAAGAGAAGAAAAUAAAAUGAAGUGUAAAUGAGAGAGAAAGUAUGUGGGUUGUAGGUUAGAGAAAUAUAUGAGGAGACAAUAGAAAUAGGCGUUAAAUCAAAUAAAUAAGAGCAAAUAUCUAUAUAAGGGUGAAAGUUUUUUAAAAAUUAAAUAAAAAAAAACCUCUAAUUAAAAUUUCUUCCUUGAUUAGAAAACAUCAAGGAAAGCCCUCUUCUGCCCAAGAAGUCUUGUGCAUUUGAAUUUGCUGGUAGGAGAGCUGUUUACCUUUGUGUGCAGUUCAAACCUGAUUACGCAGGGGUUACCCAAUGAAACCCUGAAUAAUGGCUGUACCAGCCCAUUCCUGUCUCUCUUUGCAAAUAAAACUUUUAGUCCUACUGAGGGUCAGCCUGCCUGUGCCAGUGCUCUUAAUCUGACAUUCCUUGUUUCAGAGUUUUAGUUCAAAGGAACUCCCAUGAGGGGUUCUGGGAUUCUCUGGGUCUCCUCUCUUGGGGUUGGAUUUUGGAGACAUGAGUAUGUAGUUUUCUAUACUUCCCAGCAACGUAUUUGCUUGCAGUUUCCCCUUGUACCAACAAAAUAUGUGGUAUUUUAGGUUAGAGGCAGUGGGUAACUUCCCAGUAUCUGCUUCACAGUUUGUUGGUCUACCUUUUUUGUUUCUCCUUUCUUUCUUUUUAUUUUUCUAGAAGUUUACUUUUCUGUCAUUUAUAGAUCCAAACUAGGGUCAAGGAAGGAUUUUUUAUUUUUACCUUUUUAUCAUUUAAACUCCAGCAUAGAUUUCUGUAGCCCUAAAGAAAGCCUUGAGAUAGUAUCUCUCAAUGAACUGUCAUUUGGCGCCUGCAGAUAGUCAAGUCAUCAAGUUCUGGAACUACAACUGAGGUUGAAUAAGUCGUUGAUUUAUUUCAUGCAGAGUAAAUCCAGGGCCCCUGAUCUGUCCAGUCUGUGCCCCAAUUCUGUGGGGAGAGGUAAUAAAAUUGGACAUUUUAGCUUUAAUGAAGUUUUUAAAGGUAAAGUUGUUAAAAUCUGAUGAUACAUGAAAAUAGACCCCUUUUAUUUCUACUAAAAGCUCUUAUAUAGAAGAAGAAUGUAAUGAAGACCUCAGUAAACAUCAACUACAUACUUGAUCUCUCCAUUUAUCAGAUUUGAUAUUUAAUAAUCAGUAAAAGAUUAUAUUUGAUAAAAUUUUUUUGCUGAUAUUCAGAUUUUUUAGUGCUUAAUACUAAUUGCUCACCUCAGUAGCUUUUCAACUUACCAAACGUACUUUGAAAAUAGUUUGUUGAUUAUCCUAUAUUAAUUGUUUCUGAUUUUGGGGGUUGGAUUGAUUUUAAAGUUCUCUAUUUGGAAGGUUAAAAAAAGUUGUCCUUCUCUUUUGUUAAUGCUUGAUUAGAAAAAGAGUUUCUAGGCAUGGCUUUGCCUUAUGUUUAAGCUAUUAAUUUUAAUUAUAUAAUAUGCUAAUAGCAUUACUUACUAAAUGCUUUGUAAUGGUAAUUUUGAUUAUUUAAACUAAAAGUCAUUUUAGUUGAGUGUUUUUAAUUAUAAAUAAGCAAAGCUAAUAAAAAUGUUUGAAGAAUUAGUGACUUGUUUUGCAUUACUGUUGAUGCAAAUAUAAUCUAAGUGGUGGCUAUUUUUUUCCACAGAUGAAAUUUUUAAUAUAUAAAUUUGUAUUAUUUACUAGAACAUACAUUUGUAACACUUGGAACUGUCAUUCCAUUAGGGUAGAUAUGUCACAGUUAUAAAGUCAAAACUGAAUCAUUUCUGCUCACUGUGUCUUCUCUGUGUAACAUCCU